GUGCCAUUUCCUGUGCUACUGUCCUGCCUGCUUGGCUGAGAUCAUCGAUAAACUCAGCCAAUCCAAUGCUUUCCUAUAGGAAGGUUUAUAUGAGACCAUAUGAUUAAACUAGCAGAUUUUUACUCUGCUAUAUUGGAAGAAGCACCUCUGGUGGCUGUCUGAGUGACAGCCAAUAGAAACAUUUUAUCCGUGCAGUGAAAACAUUUUUGUUUUGCACAAUGGCAGUGUUUCCACUUGCAGGGUUAAAUCUGGGAACACAUGGCACCCAGACCACUAUAUUGAGAUUAAGUGGUUAGGGUGCCUAUAGUGUAUAGUUGAGCAUAUUUGUUUUCAGAAAACAAAGAUUAUUCAAUAAAAAUGCAAAAAACCCCACUAAAUUGAAACUAGAAUCAGGAGAGUACCAGUGUCAAAUAACAGUUUAG